rnacentral:rRNA from 1 species
CAUAAGCGGAGGAAAAGAAACCAACAGGGAUUGCCCCAGUAACGGCGAGUGAAGCGGCAACAGCUCAAAUGUGAAAUCUGGCCCCCCAGGGCCCGAGUUGUAAUUUGCAGAGGAUGCUUUUGGCGCGGUGCCUUCCGAGUUCCCUGGAACGGGACGCCAUAGAGGGUGAGAGCCCCGGUCUGGGUCGGACGACCUAGACCUGUGUAAAGCUCCUUCGACGAGUCGAGUAGUUUGGGAAUGCUGCUCUAAAUGGGAGGUAUAUGUCUUCUAAAGAUAAAUACCGGCCAGAGACCGAUAGCGCACAAGUAGAGUGAUCGAAAGAUGAAAAGCACUUUGAAAAGAGGGUUAAAUAGUACGUGAAUUUGUUGAAAGGGAAGCGCUUGUGACCAGACUUGGGCCCGGUGGAUCAUCCAGCGUUCUCGCUGGUGCACUCCGCCGGGUNCAGGCAGCAUCAGUUCGCCGCGGGGAAAAGGCUUCGGAACUGGCUCUACGAGUGUAUAGCCGUGCUAUACCGGGCGACGAGUCCCCCAGUCGCUAUGCCCACUUACCAAAAUCUGCCUCUGA